AGCACUCGUCCGCAGGAUGUGGCCUCCCGUGAUUCUCCGCCGGCGGAGGGUGGAUCCGGCAAUAGAGCUGGAGCUGAUGUUGCUAGGAAGACUAAGGAGGCUGAACAUAUGUUGGCUAGUUUAGAAGAAGAGGGAGUGGACAUAGAUGGCAAGAUGGCUAGUAUUAUUGAUGACGAGAUAGCUAGAAUUAAAGCUGAAGCUGAGAGGGAGAAAAUGAUCGAUGGGCUGAAAAGGAACGGGGUGGUGGUACUGGUCACUAUCUCGUCUGUUGUUUUUGGUGUCUUGAUGGGAGCGGA